rnacentral:misc_RNA from 1 species
GUCGUUUAAAUUGUAAAAAGACGAAUAAACAUAGAGGGGGAACAUAGGAAAGUUGAUACAAUAUACUUGUGCAUCAAAGUCAUAUUCCCAUCUCCAACCAAAUGUUUGUAGCUUUCUAAACACUCCCUUCUAUUGUGGGUACAAAUUCCACAAUGGAAAAUAAAUUACCAAAAUUUUUAAAUUGAAUGAUUGCUUGAUUAGUUGGGUUGGGUUGUGUUGACAUAAUAUGUUUAUUAAAUUGGUGAUACUGUGUUUUUUUUUUUUGUGUUACUUGUUUAUUAAACAUGUUUUGACAUGUUCAUGUUCAUGUCAACCCAUUAAUCUGAAUGCCGAAACCCAAACCUCAACAAAUGCUUAAAAAAAACAAAGCAAACAUAUAAAAUAACAAAAUUUGUGGUUCACACUUUUAACAUAGAGCCACGUCCACAGGUAUGAUUUUUUAACUAUCAUCAAAUAUAAUCAAUAACUACAAGUUCAAAACUAUAUCACCGUCAACCGAAUUACAUCUAAGAAAACCCCCACAAAAAACUACACAAAUACAUUAGUUAGUCCCAUUCAUUCUCCUCUACACAUGACGCAAUAUAUUUACUACUGCAACACACAUUGGGUAUUUUCAACUAUAAUAAACAAUAUUUUCUUACUCUUAGACUAUACCCAUUCUCUACUAUAGGUUAAAACUUCUCUCCCUCUAUUGAACUACAAGGGCAAGUGACACUCUCCUCAAUGGGCAAGAGCCUCUCUACAAUAGGCGAAAGCCACUCUCCUCAAUUGGUAAAACCCUCUCUAUGGGCAAAAGCCUCAUUUUGUAGGCUAAAAGUCAAAUAACUUUUCUGUGAAUAUUCCUAAUGUUAGUCCACUCAAUCAUAAUCUAAUUAAAAAUCCAAUUCUAUUUAGGAAUAACAUCAUAAUAGGAAUUCUAUUUAAUUUAGGAAAUAAUCAUACAUUCUAUUGAGGAAUAUUUCUCCUCAAAGAUCUCUUCAAAUCUUACUAAGAUUAUGAGUCAUAAAUCUAACAAACACGAAUUCCAACCCUAAACAAAAUGCUUCCACUGAACCAAACUACUAUAAUUGAGCUAAAAUCAAAUGCAUGUUUGCAUUUGACAAUGUGUAAUAGACUUAUUUAAUAAAAAAUUUAGGCUAAAGAUUAUAACUAAAAAGUAUAAUGUUAAUGUUUUUAGCUAGAAAUAGGAAACUGAAAAGCUCAUAAAAAAUUUGUACUCAUUUUUUUAUUAAUAGUGGGUACAAAGUGCAUAAAAUUAAUUUAUAGAGUUGGAUUUAUUUAGGAAAAAAAAUGUUUAAAAAGUGAACAAUAUUGGUGGUUUAAUAAAAAUUUAAUUGUAUUUCUCUGAUCUUUUUGGAGGAGAAACGAAACUUUUGGCAAAAAAUAAUUAAUCCAGAUGCCUGCUAAGUGCAAUAAGAAAUUGU